GAUGAACGCUGGCGGCGUGCCUAAUACAUGCAAGUAGAACGCAGUUGCGAACGGGUGAGUAACGCGUAUGUAACUGCCUCAAAGCGGGGGAUAACUAUUGGAAACGAUAGCCAAUACCGCAUUCUGUUAGACGGACCUGCGUUGUAUUUGGUAGUUGGUGAGGGAAAGGCUCACCAAGGCGACGAUACAUAGCCGGCCUGAGAGGGAGGUCGACGACACCGGGACUGGGACAAGGGCCAGACUCCGACGGGUGGCCGCAGUGGGGGAACUGCGGAAAUGGGCGGAAGUCUGGCCGAGCAACGGCGGGGGAGUGUAGGAGGUUUUCGGAUUGUAAAACUCUGUUUUGAGAGGAGCGGUAACUAACCAGAAAGGGACGGCUAACUACGUGCCAGCAGCCGCGGUAAUAC
rnacentral:rRNA from 1 species